AGAGUUUGAUCCUGGCUCAGGACGAACGCUGGCGGCGUGCUUAACACAUGCAAGUCGAGCGGAAAGGCCCUUCGGGGUACUCGAGCGGCGAACGGGUGAGUAACACGUGAGUAACCUGCCCCAGACUUUGGGAUAACCCUCGGAAACGGGGGCUAAUACCGGAUACGACACUCCAUCGCAUGGUGUGGGUGUGGAAAGUUUUUCGGUUUGGGAUGGGCUCGCGGCCUAUCAGCUUGUUGGUGGGGUGAUGGCCUACCAAGGCGACGACGGGUAGCCGGCCUGAGAGGGCGACCGGCCACACUGGGACUGAGACACGGCCCAGACUCCUACGGGAGGCAGCAGUGGGGAAUAUUGCACAAUGGGCGGAAGCCUGAUGCAGCGACGCCGCGUGAGGGAUGACGGCCUUCGGGUUGUAAACCUCUUUCAGCAGGGACGAAGCGUAAGUGACGGUACCUGCAGAA
rnacentral:rRNA from 1 species